rnacentral:rRNA from 1 species
CAUAUUGCACAAUGGGGGAAACCCUGAUACAACGACGCCGCGUGAGCGAAGAAGGCCUUCGGGUCGUAAAGCGCAGUCCUAAGGGAAGAAACGAACGGUACCUUGGGAGGAAGUCUCGGCUAACCACGAUCCAGCAGACGCGGUAAUACGGAGGGGGCAAGCGUUGUCCGGAAUUUUUGGGCGUAAAGGGUGCGUAGGUGGCUUUUUAAGUCAGAUGUGAAAGACCACGGCUUAACCGUGGGGUUGCAUUUGAAACUGGAAGGCUUGAGUAUCGGAGAGGGUAGUGGAAUUCCCAGUGUAGCGGUGAAAUGCGUAGAUAUUGGGAGGAACACCAGUGGCGAAGGCGACUAACUGGACGAAAACUGACGCUGAUGCACGAAAGCUAGGGGAGCAAACA